rnacentral:rRNA from 1 species
GGAAUAUUGGUCAAUGGACGAGAGUCUGAACCAGCCAAGUAGCGUGCAGGAUGACGGCCCUAUGGGUUGUAAACUGCUUUUAUCAGGGAAUAAAGUGCGGCACGCGUGCCGUUUUGUAUGUACCUGACGAAUAAGGACCGGCUAAUUCCGUGCCAGCAGCCGCGGUAAUACGGAAGGUCCGGGCGUUAUCCGGAUUUAUUGGGUUUAAAGGGAGCGCAGGCUGAUUGUUAAGCGUGACGUGAAAUGUAGCCGCUCAACGGCUGCACUGCGUCGCGAACUGGCAGUCUUGAGUGAGUACGACGUCAGCGGAAUUCGUGGUGUAGCGGUGAAAUGCUUAGAUAUCACGAAGAACCCCGAUUGCGAAGGCAGCUGACGAGUCCUUUACUGACGCUAAAGCUCGAAGGUGCGGGUAUCGAACA